CUGGAUUGGAACUGCAACAGAAAAUCUUCCAGUGACAGCACAAAUGAUAGAAUAAUUCAGUUGUGACAGGAGCUCACAAGGGGACACACUUGUCAAUGGGCCCAUCUGUCUGCUGCCACUCUCCAUCCCUUACAAUGCCCUGCUACUGAGAAUGAUACCAGCUGAAGGAAUGACACUCGCUCAUCCAUGUCCCAAAUGGGGUGAAGGGAGGCCCUGGAGAUGCAUGAACUGGUGCAUUAGUAGAAGAAACAGUCACCAGAAGAGCAAGUGACGACUCUAGAACUUUCAGAUCCCGGGGUAACUGCAGCUCCUCAUCCUGCUUGUG
rnacentral:lncRNA from 1 species